rnacentral:lncRNA from 1 species
GUUGUAACAUAAGAAAAUGUGAAAAAAAGUCAAGGGGUCCAAAUACUUUCCGAAUGCACUAUAAUGUCAAUGUUUUAGCACUAUACAGAGUGUUUAAACUACAGCAGGCAAUAUGGUUCAAUGUGCCAAUAAAUCAGCACAAUCUACUUUUUCAUUUUUUUUUUUUAAUUGCCUGCGUCUUGAAGCUAAAACGAUAUAUUCAGCUACUGACCAUUCAAAAAAGAGUAGAGGAGAGCAAUGUACAAUAUGGACAACUUAGCAAAACCAGGAAUUUGUGAACUGGGAUUACUCACCACGAACUGGAAGAAGCGUUUUCCUUUAAUGAGUCUGACGAGAAAGAUAUACUGCUCUCCCAGGAACAGGCCCAGAUCCCGUCAUUUAAGUAAAGAAAAGACGGAGGAAAAGAGGACGCAGAUCGGGCUGCCUUUUGAGAAUCCAUAGCCGAGCGAGUAAACUCCCACUGCCAUCAAUUCUACUUGCUAACAUGCAAUCAUUGGGAAAUAAAAUUGAUGACCUACGAUUACGAUUAUCCUACCGACGGGACAUUAAGAACUGUAAUAUCUUAUGUUUCACGAGUCAUGGCUGAUCGACAACACAGAUAAUAUAGAGCUGGAGGGAUUUUCAGAAGCUAUGUCUGGUAAGACGAGGGGUGGGGGUGUGUGUCUUUUUGUCAAUAACAGCUGGUGCACAAUGUCUAAUAUUAAAGAAGUCGAGAGGUAUUGCUCGCCUGAGGUAGAGAACCAUAUGAUAAGCUGUAGACCACACUACCUACCAAGAGAGUUCUCAUCUAUAUGAUUCAUAGUCGUCUAUUUACCACCACAGACCGAUGCUGGCACUAAGACCACACUCAACCAACUCUGUAAGGCCAUAAGCAAACAAGAAAAUGCUCACCCAGAAGCGGCGCUCCUAGCGGCCGGGGUCUUUAAUGCGGGCAAACUUAAAUCAGUUUUACCACAUUUUUACCAGCUUGUCACAUGUGCAACCAGAGGAAAAAACUCAAGACCACCUUUACUCCACACACAGAGACGUGUACAAAGCUCUCCCUGCCCUCCAUUUGGCAAAUCUGACCAUAAUUCUAUCCUCCUGAUUCCUGCUUGCAAGCAAAAACUAAAGCAGGAAGUACCAGUGACUCACUCAAUACAGAAGUGGUCAGAUGACGCUGAUGCUACGCUGCAGGACUGUUUUGAUAGCACAGACUGGAAAUAUGUUCCUGGAUUCAUCCAAUGGCAUUGAGGAGUUUACCACCUCAGUCAUCAGCUUCAUCAAUAAGUGCAUCGAUGACGUCAUCCCCACAGUGACCGUACAUACAUAUCCCAACCAGAAGCCAUGGAUUACAGGCAACAUCCGCAUCGAGCUAAAGGCUAGAGCUCCGCUUUCAAGAAGCGGAACACUAAUCCGGACGCCUAUAAGAAAUCCUGCUAUGCCCUCAGACAAACCAUCAAACAAGCAAAGUGUCAGUACAGGAUUAAGAUUGAACACUGAAGCAUGCAUGAGAGCACCAGCUGUUCUGGAUGACUGUGUGAUAACGCUCUCGGUAGCCGAUGUGAGCAAGAUCUUUAAACAGGUUAACUUUCACAAAGCCACAGGGCCAGAUGAAUUAUCAAGACAUGUACUCAAAGCAUGUGCAGACCAACUGGAAAGUGUCUUCAAUGACAUGUUCAACCUCUCCCUGACCAAGUCUAUAAUACCUACAUGUUUCAAGCAAACCACCAUAGUCCCUGUGCCCAAGGAACGAAGGUAACCUGCCAAAAUGAUUACCGCCCCGUAGCGCUCACGUCGGUAGCCAUGAAGUGCUUUGAAAGGCUGGUCAUGGCUCAUAACAACAACAUCCUCCUUGAUACCCUAGACCAACUCUAAUUCCCAUACCGCCCAUACACUGCCCUUUCCCACCUGGACAAAAGGAACACCUAUGUGAGAAUGCUGUUCAUUGACUACAGCUCAGCAUUCAACACCAUAGUGUCCACGAAGCUCAUCACUAAGCUAAAGACCCUGGGACUAAACACUCCCUCUGCAACUGGAUGCUGGACUUCCUGACGGGCCGCCCACAGGUGGUGAGGGUAGGCAACAACACGUCUGCCAGGCUGAUCCUCAACACUGGGGCCCCUCAGCGGUACAUGCUGAGUCCCCUCCUGUACUCCCUGUUCGCCCACGACUGCAUGGCCAGGCACAACUCCAACACCAUCAUUAAAUUUGCUGACGACACAACAGUGAUCAACAGGCCUGAUCACCGACAUCUCUGUGGCUCAGUUGGUAGAGCAUGGUGUCUGCAAUACCAGCAUGGUGUGUGCAAUGCCAGGGUUGUGGGUUUGAUUCCCAUGGGGGGCCAGUACAAAAAAAAAAAUGCAUGAAAUGAAAUGUAUGCAUUCACUACUGUAAGUCGCUCUGGAUAAGACUGUCUGCUAAAUGACUAAAAUGUAAAUGUUAAAUGAUAAGACAGCCUAUAUGGAGGAGGUCAGAGAACUGGCAGUGUGGUGCCAGGAAAACAACCUCUUUCACAAUGUGAGCAAGACAAAGGAGCUGGUUGUGGACUACAGGAAAAGGAGUGCUGAACAGGCCAACAUUAACAUCAACGGGGCUGUAGUGGAGCAGGUUGAGAGUUUCAAGUUCCUUGGUGUCCACAUCACCACCAAUCUAUCAUGGUCCACACACCAAGACAGUUGUGAAGAGGGCACAACAAAACCUUUUCCCCCUCAGGAGACUGAAACACCACCCGAGGGGGUGUUUCCAGGCCAAAAAGAUCAUCAAGGACAACAACCACCCAAGCCACUGCCUGUUCACCCCGCUAACAUCCAGAAGGCGAGGUCAGUACAGGGGCAUCAAAGCUGGAACCGAGAGACUGAAAAACAGCUUCUAUCUCAAGGCCAUCAGACUGUUAAACAGCCAUCACUAACAUUGAGUGGCUACUGCCAACAUACUGACUCACCUCAAGCCACUUUAAUAAUGGGAAAAUUGAUGUAAUUAAUUUAUCACUUGCCACUUUAUAUUAUUUAUAUUAGAUAAUGUUGUAACGGCUGUUGAAUGGAGUAGACCAAGGCACAGCGUGGUUAGUGCUCAUCUUGUAAUUUAUUAAACAGAGAACACUAUAAACAAAGAAACAAAACGACAGCCCACAGUUCUGUCAGGUUAGACAACUAAACAGAAAUUAACCACCCACAAAACUCAAAGGAAAACAGGCUACCUAAGUAUGGCUCCCAAUCAGUGACAACGAUGUACAGCUGUCCCUGAUUGAGAACCAUACCAGGCCAAAACAAAGAAAUACAAAAACAUAGAAACAAGGACAUAGAAUGCCCACCCUAGUCACACCCUGGCCUAACCAAAAUAGAGAACAAAAACCUCUCUAUGGCCAGGGCGUGACAAAUGUUUACAUAACCUACAUUAUUCAUCUCAUAUGUAUAUACUGUACGCCAUACCAUCUACUGCAUCUUGCCAUCCUGAUGUAAUGUAUCACUAGCCACCUUAAACAAUGCUGCUUUAUAUGUUUUCAUACCCUACAAUACUAAUCUCAUAUGUAUAUUCUGUACUCCAUACCAUCUACUGCAUCUUGCCUAUGCCGUUCGGCCAUCACUCAUUUAUAUAUUUUUAUGUACAUAUUCGUAUUCAUUCCUUUACACUUGUGUGUAUAAGGUAGUUGUUGUGGAAUUGGUAGAUUACUUGUUAGAUAUUACUGCAUGGUCGGAACUAGAAGCACAAACAUUUCACUACACUUGCAUUAACACCUGCUAACCAUGUGUAUGUGACAAAUACAUUUGAUUUGAUUUGAUUUGAAGAUUUGGCAUGGGUCCCCAGAUCCUCUUUAAGUUCUACAACUGCACCAUCGAGAGCAUCCUGACCGGUUGCAUCAAUGCCUGGUAUGGCAACUUGCUUGGCAUCUGACGCUACAGAGGGUAGUGCGUAUGGCCCAGUACAACACUGGGUUCAAGCUUCCUGCAAUCCAGGACCUAUAUGAUAUGCGGUGUCAGAGGAAAGCCCAUAAAAUUAGUCAGAGAUUCCAGUCACACAAGUCAUAGACUGUUUUCUCUGCUACUGCACGGCAAGCGGUACCGGAGCGCCAAGUCUAGGACCAAAAGGCUCCUUAGCAGCUUCUAGCCCCCAAGCCAUAAGACUGCUGAACAAUUAUUCAAAUGGCC